ensembl:lncRNA
AUGAAUCUUUUUUGUAGUUCAUCCCAAUUCCAAGUUGCUGGUUUUGGUUUGUUGGGUUGCUUCUCCGCCGGCAAAUGUUGCGCUGCAGACUCGCUCAGCCCGUUUUUUGUUUUUUUCCCGCUCUUUCACACCUACAUGCGCGCGCGCGCCCCCGCGCACAUCCACCCAAGCACACGGGCACCUCUCCACGAACACGGCAUCGUGCGUUAUCCUGGGAUCCGGGCAGCAGCAAAGCGGAGGAUGAUUAACAGCGCGUGCUCUGGAAUAAAGCUUGCCAGGUCUUCCCGCGUAAUUGAAGAGGAGAGACUCAAGAAGCAAAGGUCUGACAAGUUGACAUUACAUCCAAGGCUACUGAUCAAGUAACAAAGCUCCUGAGAUACAGUCCAAGAAGUGACCUCUCUGUCUGGAUUAGAGAACAUACAUGAACAUGAUGUGAUUUAUUUGAGGCUGGAGGAUGAAAUGCCAUGCGGUCUCUUGCUUACUUUUAAUGGCAAGUGUAGCCUCUUGGAAAGAUUAGAAGUAGGGGGGCAGGGGGAGGACAUCAAGAGGAGUGAUUGCAACAACUUCCAGAAUCCCUCAGCUACCAUGGCUAUGGAUGUUUGUUGGAGAAUUUUGGGACUUGUAGUUUAAAAAAACCAAAUCCAAAUGUUCCCCAUCUCUGCCCAUUUUGUUAAAAUGGGGGGGGGGGUAGGGAGAGCUAGCUAAGCCUUAUUAUGUUAGUACAGCACCGGGAUUACAUAGCUCUCCUAAGAACCAGUGCCACAGAAUAAGCCUGCCAGAGCCAAGCCUCAACACCUGUUUUCCGUGUCAGGAACCAGUCUAAAUUACUUUUUUUUUUCCUUUUGCAUUACAACUCCACUGUAACUUGUUACCGCAGUGAUGAACCGCAAUAGGGCUCACAGGUUUUCCCCCUUCCGCUUCUAGAAUAGUAGUGAGGAGCUUUUACUUUUCAUUAAUUAAUGCUAUGGGAAAAAGUUAAUUUUGGACUACAGCUUCAAGUGUCUACCUACUAGCAUGGCCACUUUUCCAAGCUGUGAUCUUGACUAAGGUCUGCUUGAAACAAGCCAACUGGAAACCAUAGAUUAUUAAGAUGGCUUGUUUAAACAAACUAUAGCUAUUCUUUGAGGUUCAAACAACAAGCUAUCCUAUGGGUUAACUGAAACUAGGAAUGAAAACUGCUGAAUUCCUCUGCCAAGCUAGGGCAUCUGCAAGCUAUGGCAAGGAAAGAGAGAAGAGAGUAUGCAGACAUAAAGUCAAUAAGCUUUGUUCUUGUCAUGAUAAACUAUGGUUUACGCUGCCUAGAUGCGGACAGAUUGUUCACAUGUUCUCUUGACAAAAGUGAAAGGCAUAAACAAAGCCUGAUCUUGCUAGAAUUUUCUUUCUUUCAACCAAAGAUGGCUUGUCACUUUGAUAGGGGAUGCCACUGUCCAGUCCAUGAGCUAUCCCUUUCAGCAUAUGAGCUGGAAAAGUUACUGUAUGUGCAUUUAGCUGAGAGCAGUCUCCAUUCUACCCAGUGAGACUGAAUUCAUGCAAAGGUUUUGGCUAUGACAGAUUCAUAUUCUGAAUGUAUCAAUAAAUCACAACUUGCAGUUAUUUCA